UAGGCGGACAUAUACACAAAAAAAAACCUAAAAACGCCUAGAGAAAAAAGAAAGGAGGCGCUGUUGUUGACCAUUUUCGAACCUCCCUCCUGUUCUUCACCUUCUUUAACGUUUGAGGAUAGCAGCCAUGACCAUCUUCUUCAACAACAAAAAUCACAGAUCCUAAGUCCUAACACACACAGGGAAACGACGGGUCUCCCCAAGUGAAAGACCCCAUCGAUGCUCUAUACCUCCAUCUCCGAACCAAAAAACCAGUAGCAGUACCCUCGUCCGUCCACCCCCUGAACUUGAAAUCGACUCCAAAAACCACCAGCAUCAACCUUCCGUUUCCACCCAAAAACCCGCCGGAACAGACUACCCCCAAAACGCAUGAAAUCAGUCCCAAAAAUUGCAUCAAACCAGCUGCGAAAAUAGCAGAAACGCGGCUGCAAAUCAGCAAAAAAACGCUCAAGAAUAGUCCAAUGUCACGUCUGUUCUGUUUCUUCUCUUCGAUUUCGAUUUUUUGCUUCAUAAUGGACUUGAGUUUUGACAGAAUUUGAGGUGUUCGGGUUUGAUAUUGGCGAAAGCUUUUUGUGAGUUUUGUUUUCUCUUUCUGGGUUAAAGUUGAGUUCAUAGCUGUUUUGUUGAGUUCGAAUCUGUUGCGGCUGAGUUUUCAUCUUGACGACGCCUUGUUGUUUUUCACAUACUGGCCCUUAUUUGGUUCACCUUCCUUGUUUGCCUUAGUUGAGAGGUUCUGUUUUUAAGGUGAUUGGUUUGUGGUAACCUAGCUUCACACCCGUACUUCACAAGAUCAAAGGGCAGUGUAGAAAUGUCAUCAGAAGGUCUUCCACCAAUAAUUCCCAUCUCAGACGAUAGACCGCUAUCGGUUAUCCUAAUCUCAGAAUCAGCGGCCACUGAGGAGAAUAGGGCACUGCGCCUCCGCGUGCUAGAAAUGUGGGAUGCCUGGUCUAAUGGUAAAGAGCCGCCGAGUGCCAUACCCGGUUUUCCCGAGUUACUUCCCAGAGCAAAUGAAAAUUCUAAUGUCCCAAUAAAUUACCCAAAUACCCCACUUGGAUACCCCACCAUCUCAGCUCACUUCACCGGAACACCUUCUGAGGUUCGUCCCUAGGUGGUUUCGGGAAUGGCCUCCAACAUAUUUACCACACCACCAACCUCGGCUGCGGUGCAACCCACUUUACCCAGGCCAAGCUUUGAUCCAUCAUCGUUCACUUUCCAAGUACCAUCUUUUCCGCCAGAACCUACCCAGUUCACCACCAAUUCUUACCCUCAACAACCCCGGUACGAGUUCACCGCGGGACAGGAGAAGGCUACAAAGAACCCCGAGCAAAAGGAAAUUACCCGAAAAAUGAGGAGCAUGGAACAGAGCCUUAAGAAUAUACAAGGUUUGAGCGGACAAAAGAGCGUAUCCUACGCAGAUCUAUGUAUGUUCCCACAUGUGCAUUUGCCCCUGGGUUUCAAGACCCCAAAAUUCGAAAAGUAUGACGGGCACGAGGAUCCCAUAGCUCACCUCAAGAGAUAUUUCAAUCAAUUAAGAGGGGUAGGCGGAAAAGAAGAGCUCCUAAUGGCUUAUUUUGGAGAGAGUCUAGUUGGCAUUGCAUCUGAGUGGUACAUGGACCAAGACAUGUCUCGUUGGCCCACCUCAAGACCAAGACAAUGUCCCAUCCGGAAUUCAAAUUUUGGAUGGCUUUCUUGACACAAGGACUUUUGGCGACCGAGUGAAUUGGUUUCAAAUCGGCAGAAUCCGGUUAUACCCCUUUUCUUUCUUUCUUUUUCCUUUUCCUGCUUGAUUCCUUUUACUGUUAUUAGUUGUUUUAUUUUUCUCUUGUUUGUUUCGUUUGAUUAGCAAUUAGCUUAACACAUAGGUUUGUUCGAUUUAAUCAAAUUCAGGUUAAUUAGGUUAGUGUUAAUUGCAUCACUAUCUUCUGUUUUUCUUCUUUCUAUUGUUGUUUUUCUUUUAUUUUGUUGUUUUGGAAUUUGGGUCUGUUUAGGUUUAUUAUUCAAAAGUAGGGUCAAUCAGCUAAUUACUCUAAUUCAAUCAUUUGCUUAGGUUUAAAUCAAGAUAUUUGUUUAGCUAAGUUCAUCUAAUAAGAUGCCUUGAUUUAACUUUAGUUAUUUGAUUAUUUAGGUUCGAAUGAGUUAAAAAUUGAAAGGGAAAUAAUAAAAGUUUAAGGGGGUCAAGAAAACCAACAUCAGAGAGUCUCAAUCUAGAAUUGUCUGGAAGGUUCUAGAAGACAAUGAUAGAAGCUAAAAUGUAAUGAAACUGCUGAAAUUAGGUCAGAUUGGGUAAAAGGGUAAUAACAAGAACUUACAGGGGUUUAAUUGGGAAGUUAAAAUGGGGAAAAAUAUCAGAAGGUUCUAAUAUUGGACAGUUGUCCCUCUUUUUAGUAUGAAAAUGCUGAAUUUGGGUAAAAAAAAAGGAUAGACAUCUGUUAAAAGAUGUUGUACUAUCUGACAUUUCAGAAUUUUAGGGUAGAAUAUUCUCUUGUUAUGCUAUCUUUGUGCAUUCUAUAUAAAAAAUAGACCAUCACUCACUCACACACACAUUCUCAUCAGCAUAUUCACGCUCAAAAUACACACACACAAAAGGUCUCUGAGAUUUAGACCAUUUUUUCAUUUUUAAGACUGAUUUUGAGACUCAAAAAAUUCUGAAAAGUUUGAGAAGUCCUUUCUCAUUUGGCAAGGAGUUUUUGGCUUUAGAGUUUCAUUUGGUCCUCGGUUUUCUACUGCUGUGCUGUUUCGUCUGCUGUUGCUAUUUUCUAUUUUUCUUGCUGUUGCUUUUCUUCCAAGAUUUUCCAGAGAUUUAUUCUCUUCUUUUUCUACUGUUGUCAAGGUACACAUCCAUGAACUCACAUGUUUGACUUGGAGUUUCUUCUGUGAUUUCUUGGGCCUUUACGUGUCUUUUGUGAUGUAGUAUUUUAUAUUUCAUGUAAAAGGUUGUAAAUGUUUAAGCAUUUGGAAUGGAAAUCUAUUUCGAUCUUACUGUUGCAUUACUAUCUUUCAGCUACUUUAAAGCAUGUUAUCUCUGUUAGGUCCUGUUCUGAUAUUAUGGGCUAUUUUGAGCAUGAAUUUUAAUGCAAAUGAUUCCUAAUACUGUACUAAGUAUCGUUGGCAGUAAACUGGUGACAAGAAAAGGCUAUUGUUGCAAAUAACAGGGAUGUAGUUUAGGGGUUAUGACUAAAUUGGUGAAACCAAAGCCUGGCCAUCAGAAGUGGUUGAAGUCAUUGCAGAUUCUCUUGACUGAUUUUUUUUAAGACUGUAAUACGAAAUUUUGGCAUGUAAACUUGGUUCAUCAAUUCUGUAUUUGUGUUUAGUCAUCUAAAUCUAGCAUGUUUAGCUGCAACGUUUGUUUGAUUCUUCAUCUCUUUCAAUUCGGAAACCAUUACAUUUGUAGAAAUUGGAUCCUGAGGUUAGAUGUUGGUUAAUUGAUAAUUAGUUGUGUUUAAAUGACAAUACCUAAUCUGAAUUCA